rnacentral:sRNA from 2 species
GCAGUACCUCGUUCGGUGAGGCUCCUGCGCGAAUAUAGGCCACUGGUCUGGCGAAUAUCGAGAGAUGUCGUCAGGUUAGGACAGGUUUUCCCGGAGCAAGGGUUAACCCCAAGUGGCUGCCCUCCAGCAUUGCUGGAAUGGGCUACGUCGCGUAGUGCCAAAGCUCUGACAUGGAGGACUGCG